rnacentral:rRNA from 1 species
UGGGGGAUAUUGCACAAUGGGCGAAAGCCUGAUGCAGCAACGCCGCGUGAGGGAAGACGGUUUUCGGAUUGUAAACCUCUGUCUUCGGUGAAGAAAAAAAUGACGGUAGCCGAGGAGGAAGCCACGGCAAACUACGUGCCAGCAGCCGCGGUAAUACGUAGGUGGCGAGCGUUGUCCGGAAUUACUGGGUGUAAAGGGAGCGCAGGCGGGGAGACAAGUCAGCUGUGAAAACUAUGGGCUUAACCCAUAAACUGCAGUUGAAACUGGUUGUCUUGAGUGGAGUAGAGGUAGGCGGAAUUCCGAGUGUAGCGGUGAAAUGCGUAGAUAUUCGGAGGAACACCAGUGGCGAAGGCGGCCUACUGGGCUCUAACUGACGCUGAGGCUCGAAAGUGUGGGGAGCAAACA